rnacentral:rRNA from 1 species
CAGCCGCCGCGGUAAAACGUAGGUGGCAAGCGUUGUCCGGAAUUAUUGGGCGUAAAGCGCGCGCAGGUGGUUUAAUAAGUCUGAUGUGAAAGCCCACGGCUCAACCGUGGAGGGUCAUUGGAAACUGUUAAACUUGAGUGCAGGAGAGAAAAGUGGAAUUCCUAGUGUAGCGGUGAAAUGCGUAGAGAUUAGGAGGAACACCAGUGGCGAAGGCGGCUUUUUGGCCUGUAACUGACACUGAGGCGCGAAAGCGUGGGGAGCAAACAGGAUUAGAUACCCCAGUAGUCCAUGUCUCUUAUAC